GGGGAUGACAGGCUUCGACAGUGUGAUUCUGUAUGCGUCUGCUUCUGUUCGGGAUGGUAACGGUUCCCGAUACCCACUGUUACAACGAACAAUUGCAACAGCAAAAGUUCCCGCUAUCUUCAAGGACGCAUUUGCAAACUUCCGCACUCCGGAAUUUGCUCCUGCCCUUGCAGUGGCAUAAGUCCGCCUUUUGCGCGGACACGUUCCUCCUCCGAUCCUCACUACGAGGAUGGGGCGUCAUUCGUGAGGUGAUCCCACAGUUGAUGCGAUCUGGGAUGACAUUGAGCAUCAAUCCUCUUUUGCUUUCUUCGUCCGCUUCUAAGGCAAAAGCGAUCUGAAAUGGACACGACAGUACGAGCACCGUAUACACACAUUGGACGCGGGUUCAACUCCCGCCAUCUCCACCA
rnacentral:tmRNA from 2 species